rnacentral:lncRNA from 1 species
GCUACGCCUCGUUAGGGCACCGUUGGCAUUUACAUUGCUGGAGACGUUGCCAAGGGAAGGGUUACGUUGACCAGGAAGUGACAUUUGGCGGGAAAGGAUGGCGGGAGGCGCUGCUGGGCAGCAGCAAAAGAUGCGGGAUUUUGUCUCCGGGAUUUUCCAGGGAAGCCCCGAUCUCAGCAUCCUCACUCAUGCCAUCAUUCGGAAGAAGUAUCUUGACUAUGUUGGGCUGGAAAAUCUAUCUAAACAGGAGAAGGAGCAGCUCAAACAACUGGUAGAGGAAGAACUGAUCCAGAUGAAGGUUGAUCAACCCCCAAGCAAUGUAGCGUUAAGGACUGAAGCCCAGGAUUCAAUCAACCACAAGAGACCCCUUCAUAUGUCCCAUAGUUCGGAGGAUGAGAUUAAAAACGAAAAGAAGCAGAAAAGGCAAAAGAUUGAAAAGAAGUUAGGUAAUUGUAUUUUUAUGUGAUGGUGCUUAGGACGUACUAUCCAAUACAUCACUGUUUUUUGAAUUGGGAGAAACUAAAUAUAAACUG